rnacentral:lncRNA from 1 species
GUGAGAGUUAAUAGCAGGCAGAUCACUGAAGCAUCACUCCUGAAUGUUCCUCUGUACCCUCAAUGUGCAUUUGCACUACCAGUGAUCUCAAGAAUUCUAGAAAAUGAAAACUGGAUUACCAUCACCAACGUCUAGGAACUGUGAGUCCUAUGGCUAUUGAUAUCUAACAUCCUGGCUUCACUCACAUGGAUGAGCCCCACCUGGAAUGCCUAGAAGACGUGGGACAGCUGGAUCUCUCUCCACACGGUUUUUCAUUGUUGCCUCAGGUUCCAAUAAAAGCAAAAGCUGCAAGGUCUUCUGAGGCAAAGACUUAGAAAUACCACAAUGUUACUUCUGCUGCAUUCUGUUGAUAAAAGAAUCCCACAAUGCCAGCUUCAUUUAAAGGGGUAAAGAUAUAGAUUAUUCACCUUCGAUGGGAGGAACUGCAAAUGAUGUAAUUAGUGAUAAUUUUUAAUAUACUGUAAUGUAUUGACUUAUCUUUAAAAAAUGAAAAAAUAAACCAAAAACUAAAAGCAAAACAAAACUAUAAUAGAAAACAAUUGCUUCUGGAGGAGGAAUGCAAUGGGGAAAAGGUUAUAGAAACAAAAGCUACAUUUUAUUUGAAUAUACCUGUUUUAGGUUUGACCCUGGUAACAUUUGAUAUUUUACAUAAUUAUAUCAUUAUUUAAAAUUAAAUUUUAAAACACCAAUACCCAUAACAGAAAAGUUUGAUAAAAGAGGUGAAAUAUAAAUAUAAAUAUAUUAAGUUUGCAUUAUAAUCACACAGAGAUGAAUUGUGUCAGUUACUCAAACACAGAUAUUUGACUAUACAACCUUUAUAAGAUAUCCUAAGGACAAAAAAACAUGCAAAAAUAUAUAUUGAACUGUUUUAAAAUUAUAUUUUUUUGCAAUUGAAUUGUUAUUGUGAGACAGGUGUGUACAUAUUUUAAGAUCAAGCAAGUUAGUAAGCUUGUUGACAUUAUUGUAAAUGGGAUUUGUCCCAUGGGGUAAAGAAGAUAUAAUAGCAAGUAGAAGAAAAUAAAUGAAAACCCAUUAAUAUGAGUUUGAAGUUAAAGUAUCAGUAUGAAGUCAUGAAGCAUUUUCCCAACAAAAAGAAAAAAAUAGUUUCCUAGUUCUAAUCACUUAAAAGUAUAUAGAAACAACAUAAAACUCAAUAUCAAGAGGAAAUGUAACUCAGAUGUGCUCUGUAGACAUUUCCCCUAAAAGGAGUUGAAGUUCAUUGCAAACAAGUAUCUAAUUCCAGCUUGGGGUUUGAAUAUUGUACAAGAUGGGCCUGGAAUAUCAAAUUCUCUUACUAAAAAGCAAGGCAGAUUUGAAAGACUAUUAGGAUGCAUCAAAGAGACUCAGAGGAGUCACCCUGAAGAGGUUACCAUUGGCCAAAGGUAAAAAUUUGAGAAUCAAUAAGAAAAUCAAAGGCAGUAGAUUAAAAUGCCUCAAAUAUGCUUAAAUCUAUCUGUUCCUAAUAAUGUUAAUUUAAAAAUAAUGUUGUCAUUGGACAGCUUUGAAGAAUGUUAGGGAUCCAUAAGAAUGUACAGUUUUGAAUUAAAGAGAAGAAUUGAGCAUUUAUCCUGUUUUUCCUUUAUGGAUUAUGUCUAAGGAUAACCAAAUGUUGAUGACAGAAAAUCCUUUUUAAAGAUACCUUUAGCCAAAGAAUGAAGAAAGAAUGAUAGAAUUGAAAUGUUACCAUUUUUGCAACCCCUAAUGAAAUAAUGAAUCUAGCCAGUUGUUAUCAAUUGUUGCUAACAUAAAAAAUGAGAGACAAACAGACACGCCUCUUCAUAGAAGUAUAUGAUACCACCUAUAAAAUAUUACUGCCAGAAAAAAAAAUCAAACUUUGGAUCUAAUUACCAAUUAGAUCAGCCUUUAGCUCUAACAACCAAUUUGCAAUAUUUACAGGAGAUACAGGAGCAUGUUGAAUGACACCAUAAAAAGGCAAUCAGUAAAAUUUAGUUUAUUAUAAACUAUAUAGGAUAAGUGAUCCAGUUGCUGCAAUAAAUAUAUUACAGAAGGUGUGUAUUGGCGGGUGGGAGAUAAAGGAGCAAUCUAUAGAUAAAAACAGACUUAAGGGACAUAAAAACAACUUUAAUGUAUGGAUCUUAUUUGGAUCCUUAAGAAAACAAAUUGUAAAGUAGCAUGAGACAUUUGAAGAAAAUAGAAAUAGUUUUUAAGUGUGGUAAUGAUAUCGUGGUUAUACGUUGUUAAAGAAUGCCUUUAGAGGUAAAUACAGAAAUAUUUGCAGAUGAACUAAAAUGAUGUCUAGAAUUUACAUAAAAGUAAUCCUGUAGGGAGAGUGAAGAAGUGGAAAGAGUGGAUAUUGAUAGGCAAGAGUAGCUAUAAUUUGACCACUGCUGAAUGUUGUUGAUGGAUAAAUGAAAAUGUAUUAUAUAUUUUUUUACUUAUAUAUUUGAAGAUUUUGAUUUUUAAUAAAGUGAAGCUGAGAAAGGGAAAAUCAUUUUUCUUGAUGUCAGGCUUUGAACAGAGAUAAAAGUAAAACCACUGUAGACCAAAGUGGAAAAAUAAAAAGCAAACAUAAACUUUUAUGCUUUCAGCUCUCUAUUACUGGCUUGUAUUUUUUUUUUAAUCUUUAUUUUAAGUUCCAGGGUACAUGUGCAGGAUGUGCAGGUUUGUUGCUUUUGUAAAUGUGUGCCAUGGUGGUUUGCUACAUCUAUCAACCCAUCAUCUAGGUAUUAAGCCCAGAAUGCAUUACCUAUUUUUCCUAAUGCUCUCCCUCCCCCCACUCUACCCCCCAACAGGUCCCAGGAUGUGUUAUUUCCUUCCCCGUGUGCAUGUGUUCUUAUUGUUCAGUUCCCACAUAAAAGUGAGAACAUAUGGUGUUUGGUUUUCUAUUUCUGCAUUAGUUUGCUGAGGAUAAUGGAUUCUAGAUCCAUUCAUGGCCCUGCAAAGGACAUGAUCUCAUUCCUUUUUAUGGCUGCAUAGUAUUCCAUGGUGUACAGGUACUUUUGAUUGCCUAUUUCAUUUACUUAAACAUAUUCAACCUUUCAAAAAAAUAUUGUUGGUACUUGAAAAUUACAAUAAAUUUGGUGUUUUGGGGUCUGAUUCUGCUCUGUUCUUUCUGUAACUCACACUCUUUAAGAACUUACUUAUAGUUUACUAGGUUCUCAAAAACUUGCUUAAACCAGGGAAAAAGUUAAAACAACACCACUUUAUAAAAAAUGUUGAAAAUAAAGUAAGAUGACUUUUAAGUCAGAAAAAACUGAGGCUACCACUUACGAGUUUGCCACUUACUUAAAUGGCUUACUUCUUUUUUAUUCUUUUUUAAAUUAAGAAUUUUAAGAGCAGUUUUAGGUUGACAGCAAAAUUAAGAGGAAGACACAGAGAUUUCCCAAAUACUCCCUCACCCCACACAUCAAUAGCCUCUCCAAUUAUUAACAUUUCCCAUCAAAGCAGUCUUUUUUUCUACAACAGAUGAACCCACACAUCAUUAUCACCCAAAGUCCAUUGCUGGCAUUAGGUUCACCCUUCAUAUUAUACAUCCUAUCAGUUUGGAUAAACGUAUAAUGAUAUGUAUCUACCAUUACACCAUCAUAGUAUCAUACAGAAUACUUUGACUGUUCUAAAAGUCCUCUGUGCUCCACCCAUUUAUCCCUCCCUCUUCUCUGUCUCCUGGCAACCAUUUAUUUUUUACUGUCUCUGUAUUUUUGCCUUUUUCAUAAUGUCAUAUAGUUGGAUUCAUACAGUGUGUAGCCUUUUCAGAUUGUCUUCUUUUAUUUAGUAAUAUGCAUUUAA